CGGCAACAGCUCAAAUUUGAAAUCUGGCUCUCGGGCCCGAGUUGUAAUUUGUAGAGGAUACUUUUGAUGCGGUGCCUUCCGAGUUCCCUGGAACGGGACGCCAUAGAGGGUGAGAGCCCCGUCUGGUUGGAUGCCAAAUCUCUGUAAAGUUCCUUCGAC
rnacentral:rRNA from 1 species